rnacentral:tRNA from 1 species
AGUAAAAUGGCUGAUAAUAGGCAAUAAAUUGUAAAUUUAUUUAUGAAAAAGAUUUCUUUUACU